rnacentral:tRNA from 1 species
GCCUUUGUGGUGCAGUGGUCAGCACGCUCGACGCGUAACCGAGAGGCCAUGGUUCGAUUCCCGGCGAUUGCU